rnacentral:rRNA from 1 species
CAGCCGCCGCGGUAAUACGUAUGGGGCGAGCGUUGUCCGGAAUUAUUGGGCGUAAAGGGUACGUAGGCGGUUUCAUAAGUCAGAUGUAAAAGCGUGGGGCUCAACCCCAUAAAGCAUUUGAAACUGUGGAACUUGAGUAGUGGAGAGGAAAGUGGAAUUCCUAGUGUAGCGGUGAAAUGCGUAGAUAUUAGGAGGAAUACCAGUGGCGAAGGCGACUUUCUGGACACAAACUGACGCUGAGGUACGAAAGCAUGGGGAGCAAACAGGAUUAGAUACCCUGGUAGUCCAUGCCGUAAACGAUGAAUGCUAGGUGUCGGGGGUCAAACCUCGGUGCCGCAGUUAACACAGUAAGCAUUCCGCCUGGGGAGUACGGUGGCAACACUGAAACUCAAAGGAAUUGACGGGGACCCGCACAAGCAGCGGAGCAUGUGGUUUAAUUCGAUGCAACGCGAAGAACCUUACCAGGACUUGACAUAUAGAUGAAAGAUCUAGAGAUAGAUCCCUCUCUUCGGAGACAGCUAUACAGGUGGUGCAUGGCC